rnacentral:lncRNA from 1 species
UCUGUGCAGGAUAAUGGGGCAUCACUGGGGUUUAGUCGGGCCUUUUCUGAUUCCUAGAUCAUUUGUGGAUGCCAGCUGGAGGGCAUCUAUUAGGUGGCGGAGAAGAGGGGAAGAGAAGUAGUCAGGUUACCUUUCUCCGAUUCAAGCACAUCCAACAAGAGUCCCCACCCCCACCUCCAACCUGGUCUCCCGAUUCCAAGAAGAGAGCAGCAGCCACCGCGGCUCCGGGGUGCCGCUCAAAAGAUGAAGAGGAGCCCUUCAGUUUCAAGACUGGAUGCUUUUCUGCUUUUUCAGUCAGAGAGAGUUGACCGGACUUUUCAUCUUCUG